GUCCAGAAGACGGUCAGGGCACGGGGGGGAGGGUGUGCGGCCUGGCCGCGUACCCUAAUGAGAUGGCCCUGAUGUGGAGUGACGUAGGGAGCUGAAGAUGUGGCUGUCAUUGCUGUCAGGAGCUCGCAGAAUGACGUGUAGGGGCAGGGCUGCCAGGGCAUGGUGCAAAGAUUCUGUUUGAGAGAAGGACGGUGAGUUAGGCAACUCAAAGCCAGGUUGGAUAGGGCUAUAGGCGACCUGACCAGGUGCCUGAUUUAGUACUAGGCAACCCUGUCUGCAGCAGGAGAUGGUGAACUUUGAGGUCCUUUCCAACCCAAGUCAUUCUGUGAUUCUAAAACCCUUCAGUGUUCAGAUCCAAGUUAAGUUUGAUAAAAAUGGGAUGACUUAAUGUCAGUGCUGACACACCAAUGUGGUUAAAAGCUAUUAGUCUGCUUUAUUGUUAAGCACUACUCUAAUUAUACAUGUCAACAGAGCAUUCUACAGAACACUCUUCAACCAUUCACACAGAUGCUUAUCCAGUCAGAGCCCUGAGAAAUUCUUUCUUUUUCUAGAGGUGUCCUUAGUUUUUACGCUGUUUAUCUUGCUCCACAGCUGCUGCUCUGGACAGUUUUUCUUGUAUUCCCACAUAUUAGUAUAUUAAACAUGAUCCUUACAUAUGGCCAGUGUAGUGACAAUUGGUAACACUGUGCCUCUAGCUGAAUCAUCUCAAGCAACAACAGACUGAAUCUGCAAAAUCAACACAAUGGAAUUUUGUAAAGCACACACAUCAAAUAAUACAGUAUGACAUCAAACAUAACCCAUUUGAAAGUAGGGUAAUGUCAUCUGUGGAACGAAAGCUUCAAUAAAAAGGCUGUCAUAAAUAUUCUGUUACAUCUUCUGAAAACGUUUUUUGAAACGUUGGGUUUCAUGGUGUGGCUGUGCUCAGUUCUGUGUAUCUUGUGGUCUUCUUUGCAGUUCAUCAGUUCUGUUGUUCAGAUGUAAUGCGUUCUAAAACGAGAGCUGGCAGUAAAUAGCAUAUAGCCAUGGAAGCUUGAGGCAGCCCUGGUUUGCCUUGGCUUUCUGUAUGAGCUCCCUUGUAGCACGCAGAGUGAAAUUUAAUGAAAUGCUGGUUUUUUUGGGUUUUUUUGAGUUCAGCUCUCAUUACAGUGCAGAACCCUCUCAGCUGCAUUACUGCUUUUCCAACCUCAGCUCCUCCUUCCUGUAAGUUGUCAUAUUUUGCUUGUUUCCCCAGUUCCAGCAUUUGAAAUACAGCUGCUAGUGAAGACUUCAUAAUAUUAUUCCAUGUAACAAAGAACUGACCUGCUGCAUUUCAGAUAUUUAUCUUUCCAUACGAUUUAGGCAAAAGAAAGUUGAAAGUUCAAGUUGCUGGCAAAAAAAGUAAUGAAAAAGGAAGAAUUUUUGUCAAAUUGAUUUAUAAGCAAACCUGGUUCCACAAUUAAGCAGUAGUUGAGGCAUAUCUGCAGACUUGUUGCUCUUGUAUUGGUCUGCUGGAAAUAAAAGAAGCUCUGUAAUUGAGUGUUCUUUCCUCUUGCAGCAACCUGUAGGAGGAGCUGAAGUUGGCUGUUUCCAUGAAAUAACUGCUCCCUCAUUGACAAGGGCUCCCAGUGGAUUAGGAUAUCAGUUCACUUGUAUGAAACAGUUGCCUUCUUGGCACUCCGAAUAUUGAAACAGUUUCCCUUAAAGAUCUAAGAAGCCCUUAUCUAGAGAAACAACUGGAAGUUGAAAGUUUUCCUAGGCAAGAAAGAAGUGUUUGGUGUUUACCUGUCUAAAGGCUUCUGUAGCUGCCUUUAGUUACUAUGGAUUUAAGUUCUACCAUACAUAAAAGCAAAACUACUAAAAGAAUUUUAUAAUUGCUGUUUGUGUCUGCACUGAAGAAAUGUGGAAAUAAAAUGAAAUAGAUGGUCACGAUGGAGGAGAUUUUAAAAUGCUGCCUACUGGCUUUUGGGUUCUUAGAGAGCCCUUAGAUUUUACUUUGCAGUUUGAAAGUCCUGUUAAAACAAGGAUUACCCACCACUGUGUGAUGUAAAUAUAAAAUACCUGUAUUUCCCAAAAUGGAUCAGCACAGGAACAGCUUGGACUCUUAGGUAUUGGUUUAUAAAGCAUUAAUAGCUGGUGUUCCUUCAAUAUGUUAUGGUAAAUGAUGUGUAGAGGUGGUGAAGUUGUUUCCUCAUUGAAGUAAUUUCCUCAUCAGAGGCAGGUUCUGUUAAUACAAGAGAAUCAGGCUUUUCAUAAGGGUUUUCCCAUCUGUUGCCCAACACAGACCUGAUGUUCAGAAAGAUCAGAAAGCCUCUGUUUUUCUGUCUUUGAGCAAAAUCACAGUUUAUCAUACACAGCCAGUAGAAGCCAAAGUACAGCUGGUAAUUUUUCACACUACUGUAUGUCUGGUUGCUCGUAUCUAAGAUUUGGCUGCUCAUUAAUAAAGGUGAUUUCUUUUUUAUUCUUAUUUUAAGGAGCUUUGGCUAAAAUGUUAUGUUUGGAAAGGCCUCUGAAAUGAAAAUAUGAAUUAAUUUACCACUAAAUAUAUGAAAUAAGAGAACCUGACUUAAGAAUGUUAUUACUGGAAUCAAACCUUUCAGAGGCUUAGUGAACAUUAUGGCAUUCAGCACAGCUCAGUGUUUUGCUCGCAUGACUUCAAUCAGUUUUACAGCACCUACAACUUUUGUUUUUCUCCACAAAGAAAUUGUGUUAACAUGCACAGUUCCAGCUGUGUGCCAUUCUGUUACUUUACGAGGCAUUAUUAUUUAAAACCUACAGAUGAUGUGUGUUGAGUGACAGUUCCCCAUAAAUAAUAUACCUGUCUACUGAAGUCAUUACCAAAGGCACCAUCAGCUUCACCUUCUUCUCUGUUAGAGUUCCAUGGCUUUUAUACCACUGUGUCUUGGACCUGAAGUAGCUCUGUAAUACUGUUCUGCAUUUUGGAAAGUAGCUUCCAGUCCAGUUAGACAUCAUGAUAUCCCAUCCUAUAGAGCAUGCUCACUAAACUUGUAGCUGCUUCAGGAGGCAAAAUGCAGCCGAUUCCAUGUUUUUGACUUGUGAAAGUUUCUGUGUAGCACAGCUGCCUUUCUCCCACCACAUCUGUGGGCGACUCAAUGACAGCAGGGUCAGCAUCAGCAUUUUCCCUGCUAGCUGCUAGACUGCAGCUUGAAAUGGCAUUGGCUUUCCAAAAAGCAGAUGGGUGACGAGAGCUGUAGGGUUCUGUUAGCGUGACCCUAACUCUGACAACUCUGGCUUAAUUUACCAGCCUGUGCUGUGCCCUUAGAAAACAA